rnacentral:rRNA from 1 species
UAAAAGCUUUCAUUUUUAGUAUCUCCUGCUCAAUGAAAUUUAAAUAGCCGCAGUUUCCUGUGCUAAGGUAGCAUAAUCAUUUGCCUAAUAAUUAUAGGAUAGAAUGAAAGGAGGAACAUGUUAUCUUCUUUAUUAAAUAAAGUACUUAAAAUUAACUUUUAAGUAAGAAUUCUUAAAUAAUUAGGGGGACGACAAGACCCUGACGAACUUUACACUAUGUUUUGCUGGGGUGGCAUAAAAAUUAAACCUUUAUUUCCCUUUUACCUAAAUAUCCAAAAAUUUGAUAAUCAAGUUACCGCAGGGAUAACAGCAUAAUUUUUUCCUGAAGACCUUAUACAAGAAAACGUUUGUGACCUCGAUGUUGAAUUAAAAAUCUAUUAGAGGCAGCACUCUAAUAAGAGAGUCUGUUCGACUCUUAAAAAUUU